UACGGGGGGUGCAAGCGUUAUCCGGAUUCACUGGGUUUAAAGGGUGCGUAGGCGGGCAGGUAAGUCCGUGGUGAAAUCUCUGAGCUUAACUCAGAAACUGCCAUGGAUACUAUUUGUCUUGAAUAUUGUGGAGGUAAGCGGAAUAUGUCAUGUAGCGGUGAAAUGCUUAGAUAUGACAUAGAACACCAAUUGCGAAGGCAGCUUACUACACAGUUAUUGACGCUGAGGCACGAAAGCGUGGGGAUCAAACAGG
rnacentral:rRNA from 1 species